UAACGAAAUGUUUGUAGUUUUAGUAGGCUAAUAAUACAAAGGGAGUAGAUGCAAGUUACCGUCAUAUUCUUCCCACUGAACUUUAUAUUCUUCCCACUGAACUUUAAGGCACAAUAGAAGCUGCAAGAACCAAAUCUAUCAUCCCUGACGAAGCCUCUCCCCAUGGCCAUGGCCAACAUCUUCAUCUGUUUCCUUCUGCUAUCAUCGCUCAUCGCUUCGCCUCUGGAGUCCGCAAGGAUCGUCCACGAGCACCGCGCCCACAUCGCUGCAGGUGAGGAAACGCCUGAUCGCCAUCUACUCGGUGGUCUUGGGGAAAUCAAGAGGGCGCAGCCCCGUCAGUUCGCGCCGCCGGCGCCGCAAGCGAACGAGCAACGCUACCCCCCGACCUGGCAUACUGGAUCCCCGUAAUGUCUAACUGUCCGUGCAAACCUGAUGGAAAAAUAAUAACAUCAGAAUUCUGUGCUUCAGGUGAUGCGUGGUGUAUGGUUCUCUUCUUUUAUCUUCAGUACCUUCCAGACGUGUUGAAUUGCCUGUAAUAUGUGAUAGAUAAGGUCGACAAUGGAUCUUGACAUUGCGUGUCACAUAGAAAAGUAAUUCUGAAACUCCUUCAGAAUCGAAUCGACAUGACACAACUUUGCAACUGAUGAACCAUAUAUACAUGGACGUGAUGCAUGUUCCUCCUAUGUAAAAUCGACAACAAUUGGAUCCGCUUCUAGUUCUA